rnacentral:rRNA from 1 species
GUUAACUCGGAUCAGGUAGGGAUACCCGCUGNACUUCAGCAUAUCAUA